CCUACGGGAGGCAGCAGUGGGGAAUCUUGCGCAAUGGGGGCAACCCUGACGCAGCCAUGCCGCGUGAAUGAUGAAGGCCUUAGGGUUGUAAAGUUCUUUUGCCCGUGACGAUGAUGACGGUAACGGGAGAAUAAGCUCCGGCUAACUUCGUGCCAGCAGCCGCGGUAAUACGAAGGGGGCUAGCGUUGUUCGGAAUUACUGGGCGUAAAGCGCGCGCAGGCGGUUCGAUAAGUUAGGGGUGAAAUCCCUGGGCUCAACCCAGGAAUGGCCUUUAAGACUGUCGAGCUAGAGGACGAGAGAGGUGAGUGGAAUUCCCAGUGUAGAGGUGAAAUUCGUAGAUAUUGGGAAGAACACCGGUGGCGAAGGCGGCUCACUGGCUCGUUUCUGACGCUGAGGCGCGAAAGCGUGGGGAGCAAACAGGAUUAGAUACCCUGGUAGUCCACGCCCUAAACGAUGAGUGCCAAGUGUCGGGAAGCUUAGCUUCUCGGCGCCGCNGCUACGCCUCAGCACUCCGCCGUCGGGUAGGUACGGCCGCGAACGUAAACGUAACGAAGAGUAGUAGUCGUGUGAGNGUCGACGACGACGACGACGGAGGAGGAG
rnacentral:rRNA from 1 species